GCCUUGCUUCCUGGGAUAGCUCACUUGGUAGGACAUGAGACUCUUAAUCUCAGGGUUGUGGGUUCAAGCCCCACAUUGGGCA
rnacentral:tRNA from 1 species